rnacentral:rRNA from 1 species
CGUUCGUGACGUAUACUACACAUGCAGUCGACGGCAGCACAGGAGAGCUUGCUCUCUGGGUGGCGAGUGGCGGACGGGUGAGGAAUACAUCGGAAUCUACUCUGUCGUGGGGGAUAACGUAGGGAAACUUACGCUAAUACCGCAUACGACCUACGGGUGAAAGCAGGGGAUCUUCGGACCUUGCGCGAUUGAAUGAGCCGAUGUCGGAUUAGCUAGUUGGCGGGGUAAAGGCCCACCAAGGCGACGAUCCGUAGCUGGUCUGAGAGGAUGAUCAGCCACACUGGAACUGAGACACGGUCCAGACUCCUACGGGAGGCAGCAGUGGGGAAUAUUGGACAAUGGGCGCAAGCCUGAUCCAGCCAUACCGCGUGGGUGAAGAAGGCCUUCGGGUUGUAAAGCCCUUUUGUUGGGAAAGAAAUCCAGCUGGCUAAUACCCGGUUGGGAUGACGGUACCCAAAGAAUAAGCACCGGCUAACUUCGUGCCAGCAGCCGCGGUAAUACGAAGGGUGCAAGCGUUACUCGGAAUUACUGGGCGUAAAGCGUGCGUAGGUGGUCGUUUAAGUCCGUUGUGAAAGCCCUGGGCUCAACCUGGGAACUGCAGUGGAUACUGGGCGACUAGAGUGUGGUAGAGGGUAGCGGAAUUCCUGGUGUAGCAGUGAAAUGCGUAGAGAUCAGGAGGAACAUCCAUGGCGAAGGCAGCUACCUGGACCAACACUGACACUGAGGCACGAAAGCGUGGGGGAGCAAACAGGAUUAGAUACCCUGGUAGUCCACGCCCUAAACGAUGCGAACUGGAUGUUGGGUGCAAUUUGGCACGCAGUAUCGAAGCUAACGCGUUAAGUUCGCCGCCUGGGGAGUACGGUCGCAAGACUGAAACUCAAAGGAAUUGACGGGGGCCCGCACAAGCGGUGGAGUAUGUGGUUUAAUUCGAUGCAACGCGUAGAACCUUACCUGGUCCUUGACAUGUCAGAACUUUCCAGAGAUGGAUUGGAUGCUUUCGGAACUCGACACAGGUGCUGCAUGAGCUGUCGUCAGCUCGUGUCGUGAGAUGUGGGUUAAGUCCCGCAACAUUGCUACCUGUUCGUAAGUGGCCGAGUCCAGUAUGGCUGGCACGUCUAUAAUACGCAGUGACAUCCGAGAGUGGAUGACUGCAGUCAUCAUGGCCGUACCGAUCGAUGC